AAGGGAGACCUAAUUCAGGUAGGAGACGAAAAAAAGUAGUCCCAACCAAGAAUCAAUCCCAAAAGGUCGGAGCGAGGCGAAAUUGGCUUUCAAACUAGGUUCUGGGUUCACACAAGACCUGAAUCAGGAACAAGGGCUAUUAGCUCAGGUGGUUAGAGCGCACCCCUGAUAAGGGUGAGGUCCCUGGUUCGAGUCCAGGAUGGCCCACCUGCACAGGUGGCAAAAACAAGAGAAGCGAGGAAUCAGCACCUUAUCUUACUGACAUAGUAAGAGAGAAUGCUGGCUCUGAGUAAAGAGUCCAGAGGAACCUUGAAAACUGCAUAGAGCUAGGUGAAAAAGCCAAAAAAGAAGACCGCAA
rnacentral:tRNA from 1 species